AGAGUUUGAUCCUGGCUCAGAACGAACGCUGGCGGCGCGCUUAACACAUGCAAGUCGAGCGGCCACAUUUCGGUGUGGCAGCGGCGGACGGGUGAGUAACGCGUGGGAACCUGCCCUGGAGUCUGGGACAACCGCGGGAAACUGCGGCUAACACCGGAUACGCCCCUGUGAGGGGGGAAAGUUCACGCUCUGGGAUGGGCCCGCGUACGAUUAGCUAGUUGGUGGGGUAACGGCGCACCAAGGCUACGAUCGUUAGCCGGUCUGAGAGGAUGAUCGGCCACACUGGGACUGAGACACGGCCCAGACUCCUACGGGAGGCAGCAGUGGGGAAUCUUGGACAAUGGGGGCAACCCUGAUCCAGCGACGCCGCGUGGGUGAUGAAGGCCUUCGGGUUGUAAAGCCCUUUUUCCGGGGACGAUGAUGACGGUACCCGGGGAAUAAGCACCGGCUAACUCCGUGCCAGCAGCCGCGGUAAUAC
rnacentral:rRNA from 1 species